CACGGAUGCCGCCCAAGAUUCCUUUAUUGCGAAGAACACCCAGAGAACUGUUCCCGUUGCUUAUACCCCAUGUGGCCCUGGUUCUGAGCCAGGACUUGGAGCUCUCUAAACCUCACAAGUGCCCCCAGGGAGGGCGGCUCAUUCCCUUUGCACAGGGCAUUUUCCGCAACUGGCUCUAUUUUGUGCCACUCCUGCUGCUUGUGCCACUGCUGCUGUGUUGUGUCUGGCGGCUGUGCCGCAAGCAGACUGUCAAGGAGCCACCACCUGUGCAGAAGCCAGAAAAGGAGCCAGAGCAGGAAAAACCACCAUCACCACCACCACCGCCUCCGCCUCCACCACCUCCACUCCCGCCUCCGCCCCCAGCUCCUGUAAACACCUGCCCCACUGUGAUUAUUUGUUGCUGUGGAUGCCAAGGAGUGGGCGGGAUGAGAAGGAUAGAGGGCAAUCUGGAUACCUUUUGUGACCUCUCUCACGCAAGCUGCCACCAGGUGCCAUGGAUGUGUUGUCAGAGCAGGGACCAGGGGAGGUACCUCAGCUUAGCCCUUGCACAGUCCCAAUAUGCACAGGCUCCCUGCUGCCCAAGGAUCUGCUUUCCACACAGCCAGGAGUGCCUUUCCCUACCACAGGCUCCCUGCAGCCCAAGGAUGUGCCUGAGACACAGCCGGGAGUGCCUCGCCCUCAAACAGGCUCGCUGCAGCCCAAACAUCUGCCUGAGACACAGCCAACACAGCAGGGAGUGCCUUGCCCGCAAACAGGCUCCCUGCAGCCCAAGGAUCUGCCUGAGACACAGCCCGGAGUACUUUUCCCAAGCACAGACUCUGUGCAACCCAAAGAGCUGCCUUCAACCCAGCCGGGAGUGCCUCCCCCUCACCUGCUCCUCCAGGUGCCGCCUCCCCCCAGCUAGGUGCUUGAGGCCUCCCUCCAGGAUGCUGCCGCUGCUGUCCCCACUGCUCAGGCACACGGCAGAACCCCCUUUGUCACUCCCCCCCUCAGAGCCCAACUUCUAAGGCACCAAACACCCAAGAUUAACAGGCUUUUGUUGCUGAACUGGACAUAUACAUUGAGUCUUUUCUUGCGGUCAAAGGAGUUGAAUUCUUGCUGAUCAACUAAAGUUGAUUGUGUUUGACACCAGGGAGCUUGUCUUUUGAGUGAGCUGGAUUUAUACUGCACCUGCCACGACACAGUGCCCUGGUGCCGUCGGGAUGCCAGGCAUGGAUGCAUUCCACUCCCAACAGCCCCGAAUUCAUCUGUCAUCAAGGGCUGGGACACAUGAGGUCUUAGGCCAAAUUCUCCAUUUAAAAAGCUCAAAAAGUGUUUGAAAUAUGAAUU
rnacentral:lncRNA from 1 species